CGCGGCCGCCGCUCCCGCCCGCCCUCCCCCCGCGCUGCGCAGCGCUCCGGAUGGUGCCCUAGCCAGCCAUGGCAGAGCAGCGAGGUGUGCCGACGCUCGGCGGUGUUCGCGGCUUCCAGACGAGCCCUCCCGCUCCUCUUCCCCCCGAGACUCCUCCCUCGGCUUCUCCGCCCCUCAGCAGCUGAUCCUCAGCUCCGGCCGCGCUUUUCGCGCGGCCCUUCCGCCGGCCGCCGACUUAGACGCACGCGGGCGCCGCCGCCCCUCCCCCGCACGCCGGCCGGAAGAACGCGGGCUGCGGCCUGGAGGCCUGGAGACCGCGGGCGGCGGCCGAGCUGAGGCCUCCCAGCACCGUGGAAAGUUGAAUGCACUGAACAAAGUGCCCACCGUGCUGCGGGCUCGCCCGACCUUCCCGCCCCGGCCGCCAGAGGCCCAGCGCCGGCCGAGUUCAGGGAAAAUUCGGCCAAGGGUGUAGGACCGCGGGCAAAAGCUCGGGUCCUCCUACCACGAUCCACCGCCUCCUGUAUCCCCCUCUAACACAGUCAAAAAGAAGGGGGUUAGGACCGGACAGUCGGGGGAAAGUUGCCUGGAGAUUUGCUUUUCAGCAAAAAAGGAAAAGGCUGCAUUGUUCUGUGGGAAUUCCAUGUGAGUAACCCAUGGUUAGUGGUACAAGAAACUGUUAAAACAAGGAUCCAGAGGAACAGCAAGAAGAAGAGAUGCAUAGGGCAAAGUAUGAGAUCAGCGGGGAGCUUUUGCGCCCUCUCUGUGCACACCACCCUCGAGCACCUCCAUGUAUUCAACAAUCUGGGAGCAUGGCAGACCUGUUGUUCACAAGUUUUUACUGAGCUUAAUCUCCACAACCCCCUAAUCCUCUUUGCUGGAAAAAUAAGGAUGUCCCUUUUGAACUUUAAUGAUCCAUCUUGGGGGAGAAGGACCAGGGGAAGAUUUCCUUAGCUUCUCAUUCCUGAGGUGUGCGGAGCCUGAUGGCACAACCAGCUACCACUUGGGUGGGUACAGGGAAAAUGGUGCCCAGGCUGAGAAAUACUCCACUUGAACAAUGAUCUUCACAAGCCACAUGCAUCCCAUGUUACUUAUAUGUUAUAUAAUGCAAUGUUGUCCUAAUAUUUUAUGUUCAUUUUAUAAAUCACAAACUGUUUAAAAAUUAAAGGAUGAUAUGA